AUGCCUCGUCAUCUAAUUAGUGACGCGCAUGAAUGGAUUAACGAGAUUCCUACUGUCCCUAUCUACUAUCUAGCGAAACCACAGCCAAGGGAACGGGCUUGGAAUAAUUAGCGGGGAAAGAAGACCCUGUUGAGCUUGACUCUAGUCUGGCAGUGUAAGGAGACAUAAGAGGUGUAGCAUAAGUGGGAGAUAUAUUAGUUUCGGCUAAAUCUAUCAAAAAUGAAAUACCACUACUCUUAUUGUUUCCUUACUUACUUGAUUAAAUGGAGCGUGUAUCAUUAACUUAGCCAUUACAUGAAUAUAUUUAUAUAUUCAAUGGUAUUUUGUUUUGAUGCGAGCUUCUUGUUUAAAGUACCAAGAGUUUGUUAUAUACACCAAACAAAUAUCAAUUAAAUUUUCUUUUCAUUAAUAAUGGGUUGUUAAAUAUUAAAUGAAUUUGGUAUAACUAUUAUACUUAGGUAUGAUCCAAUUCAAGGACAUUGCCAGGUGGGGAGUUUGACUGGGGCGGUACAUCUCUCAAAUAAUAACGGAGGUGUCCCAAGGCCAGCUCAGUGCGGACAGAAACCACACAUAGAGCAAAAGGGCAAAUGCUGACUUGAUCUCGGUGUUCAGUACAUACAGAGACAGCAA
rnacentral:rRNA from 1 species